AUCUAUCUAGUAUCAACCUUAGUAUAAGUGACUUCCAAUCACCCGGUCUUGGUUAAAGUCCAAGGAUAGAUA
rnacentral:tRNA from 1 species